GUUGCAAGUUACAGCCCAUAGCAGAAGCGUGCAUGGUGUGGCCCUGUCAGAUUCUCAUGAACCUGCAAAUUCUGCU
rnacentral:ribozyme from 1 species